UCCAUUUGACUUCAUUAAAUCUUCCGCCAGAGAAAGUGCGAUUGCAUGGUCCAACUCAUCAUUCUCAGUUCUAGAUCUCUCAUCCUGA